GAUGAGACCAUCAGCACUGAACCUUCACAUCUAACAUGUUUAUGAAGUACAUUUUUCAUGAUGUUUGCUGGCUUGGAUUCAUGGCAAGUGUAGUUCAUAUCAUUACCAGACACGUCAUCAUUGCUCGACUUAUUCACUAAAUGGGAAACUGUGUGGAACUGAGAAGGGAAUUGUGUAUUUUAGGCUCAAACAGAAAAACUGUAAAGUUAACUGAGCUGGAGAGUUUUUAAAAUUCAGCAUUUUGGCCUAAAAUGUACAAUUCCAAGGUCAAGUUUUCCAAAUCUUCAGUUUAGGAAGUAACCC